rnacentral:rRNA from 1 species
GAUCAUGGCUCAGGAUGAACGCUAGCUACAGGCUUAACACAUGCAAGUCGGGGGGAAACGACAUCGAAAGCUUGCUUUUGAUGGGCGUCGACCGGCGCACGGGUGAGUAACGCGUAUCCAACCUGCCCAUCACUUGGGAAUAACCUUGCGAAAGUAAGACUAAUACCCAAUGAUAUCCCACGAAGGCAUCCGAAUGGGAUUAAAGAUUUAUCGGUGAUGGAUGGGGAUGCGUCUGAUUAG